rnacentral:rRNA from 1 species
UACGUAGGGUGCAAGCGUUGUCCGGAAUUAUUGGGCGUAAAGAGCUCGUAGGCGGUUUGUCGCGUCUGCUGUGAAAACCCGAGGCUCAACCUCGGGCCUGCAGUGGGUACGGGCAGACUAGAGUGCGGUAGGGGAGAUUGGAAUUCCUGGUGUAGCGGUGGAAUGCGCAGAUAUCAGGAGGAACACCGAUGGCGAAGGCAGGUCUCUGGGCAUUAACUGACGCUGAGGAGCGAAAGCAUGGGGAGCGAACAGG